UUAAAUUGAAGAGUUUGAUCAUGGCUCAGAUUGAACGCUGGCGGCAGGCCUAACACAUGCAAGUCGAACGGUAACAGGAAACAGCUUGCUGUUUCGCUGACGAGUGGCGGACGGGUGAGUAAUGUCUGGGAAACUGC
rnacentral:rRNA from 2 species